rnacentral:lncRNA from 1 species
AGAAAGUAGAGCUGUGAAGGACUAGAAAGAGCUUAGGAGAGUCAAUGCCUCCAACCCGCUGCAAACAAGCCCGAAGCACCAUUGUCCCUCUGCAUGAGGCAGUGAGGUCCCUGCAAGUCACGGCUGCUGCAGGAGUGCACACAGGAUGGUGAGGUAGUCUGGCCCAUGACCCAGGGCCUGGUACAGCAGGAUCCCCUGUCUUGAUGAACCAGCUCUGAACCCACUGGGCAGUUACAUUGUUGGCUAUUUGCAUGUGCUUUCUUAGGAUUUCAUUUCCCUCUUCCUCUCCAAUUCUGCCACGAGCCUGAAACUGGACUUUUGAAAUUGCCUCCUAACUGGUCUUCCUGCCGCUGGUACCUCAUCUACAUACAUCUAGAAUGAUCUUCCUAUAGGACAAAUGGGAUCACUUCAAUCAUCUUAGUUCACUUUAAUGCUUAUUGAGCAAGGUCUGGUGGAUAUAAAAAGGGGAACCAGAGUGGCCGUGGUGGCUCAUGCUUGUAAUCCCAGCACUUUGGGAGGCCGAGGCGGGUGGAUCACAUGAGGUCGGGAGUUCGAGACCAGUCUGACCAACAUGGAGAAGCCCCAUCUCUACUAAAAAUACAAAAUUAGCCGGGUGUGGUGGCACAUCCCUGUAAUCCCUGCUACUCAGGAGGCUGAGAGAGGAGAAUCGCUUGAACCCGGGAGGCAGAGGUUGUGGUAAGCCGAGAUCGUGCCAUUGCACUCCAGCCUGGGCAACAAGAGCGAAACUCCGUCUCAAAAAAAAAACAAAAGGGUGGGGGUGGGGGAACCAGAGACAUCCCUAUUGUGAUGGUUAAUUUGAGUGUCAUCUUGAUUGGAUUGAAGGAUACAAAGUAUUGUUCCUGGGUGUGUCUGAGAGGGUGUUGCCAAAGGAGAUUAACAUUUGAGUCAGCGGACUGGGAGAGGCAGAUCCACCUUCAAUCCGGGAGGGCACCAUCGAAUCAGCUGCCAGCACAGCUAGGAUAAAAGCGGACAGAGGAACGUGGAAGCACUAGACUGGCUGAGUCUUCCAGUCUUCAUCUUUCUCCUGUGCUGGAUGCUUCCUGCCCUCAAACAUUGGACUCCAAGUUCUUCAGCUUUUGGACUCUUGGGCUUACACCAGUGGUUUGCCAGGGGCUCUCGGGCCUUCGGCCACAGACUGAAGGCUGCACUGUCGGCUUCCCUACUUUUGAGGUUUUGGGACUCGGACUGGCUUCCUUGCUCCUCAGCUUGCAGAUGGUCUAUUGUGGGACUUCACCUUGUGAUCACGUGAGUCAAUACUCCUUAAUAAACUCCCUUUCAUAUAUGCAUUUAUACUAUUAGUCCUGUCCCUCUAGAGAAUCCUAAUACACCUGUCUUCAAAAAAAGCAGCUCUAGAAGUUUGAUGACUCCCCACAAUUGCAGGCUCCUCAGUCUGCAAACAUGCUCUUUCACCGGCUGCCCCUGCUUGUUUCUCCAGCUCGUUUCCAGCCAUUUUCUCAUGUGCAUUCUCCACCCCAGCCAUGCCUGCUACCAGGACCACUGGAAUAUUCUGAACCUCUUCCCCC